rnacentral:lncRNA from 13 species
UGUUGAGGACCUAGAAUGUCAUUAUUCUUCAUAGAAGAGCCAUAAGGAAUGUGACUGGAGGGCAGCGUGGGGGAAGGGUGGGUGUAGGCGCAGCGAGAGGCAGGCGCAGAAGAUGGGAGGUGGUCAUUUUCUGCAGAUGAUUUGGGAGACAGCCAGCCCAGGGAUUGGCCAUCCAGUUUGGGGGCCAGUUCAAAUGGCUUGGAGCUAACCAAUCAGAAACUCAGGAAAGGGGCGGAAUCUGAAGAAUCAGGCCACUGCGCACUCACCUGCGGUAUGAGACUGUUUGAGACUAAGAAAAUAUACCAGUCCUCAUCAAACUUCCCCAACCAGUCUUCACAGUCCUUGAUGUUUCUUGGCUGAAGUAACUACCAAGAUGAAUGCCGAAGAGGGGUAAAGAAUUGAGCUGGCGACCAUUUGACAGUGUAGCUGAGAUAGAGAAAUACUGAUCUAGAAGGUAUGGGAAGAUCCCAGCCCUGCUGUCCUGCAGCCGUCCCAGGACCAGCCUUUUGGUCUGCAUAGCCAACAGGGUUUCCACAGCUUCCAAGAGGACAUCUGACACAGGUGUUAAGCUUUCUGAAAUAAAAAAAAAAGAUGUACACGCA